rnacentral:sRNA from 1 species
UACAUCUUACUCCGGACCCUGGCCUGAACGCCUGCAAAUGGGAGGGUAAACGUUUGCCUUCACACACCCCUGGCGCAAUUAUGUGAGCAUUGCUUUAGGUCGGGAAAACGACACAGAACGUCAGGUGGGGGUCAAUGGCUGGUACGCUUAUAAUUAAGCGUGGAAUUUUGGCCGAUCCUGAUGAAAAGGGAAAGCGAAAAAAUGUAUAUCAAUCUAAAUCCUGCAAGAUUUUCGUCCUUAAGUGUGUAAAAAUGAACAGGCUCACUUUUCACAGGGUCAUAACAAGGAGUAAAAAUUGAUGAGUGUCGAUCUUAAGUUUUCUCUGGUAACGACCAUUAUUGUGCUGGGUUUGAUCGUCGCCAGCGCGUUGGUUGCCGUACUGCAUUGAUUU